GACGAACGCUGGCGGCGUGCCUAAUACAUGCAAGUGGAACGCUGAAGCGAGGAGCUUACUCUUCUUGGAUGAGUUGCGAACGGGUGAGUAACGCGUAGGUAACCUGCCUUGUAGCGGGGGAUAACUAUUGGAAACGAUAGCUAAUACCGCAUAACAAUGGAUGACACAUGUCAUUUAUUUGAAAGGGGCAAUUGCUCCACUACAAGAUGGACCUGCGUUGUAUUAGCUAGUAGGUGAGGUAAUGGCUCACCUAGGCGACGAUACAUAGCCGACCUGAGAGGGUGAUCGGCCACACUGGGACUGAGACACGGCCCAGACUCCUACGGGAGGCAGCAGUAGGGAAUCUUCGGCAAUGGGGGCAACCCUGACCGAGCAACGCCGCGUGAGUGAAGAAGGUUUUCGGACCGUAAAGCUCUGUUGUAAGUCAAGAACGGGUGUGAGAGUGGAAAGUUCACACUGUGACGGUAGCUUACCAGAAAGGGACGGCUAACUACGUG
rnacentral:rRNA from 1 species